UCACCUGCCAGGAAAAAACAGUGGUCUCUUUCAGGCAUUGUCCCUGGUGGCUCAGCUGGGACCCGGGGCACGCUUUGACUUUUGGGAGAUAUGCAAACUGAAGCCUCUGGCCCAUGGGGGGAGGGGGUCUCUGGAACUUAUUUCUGGGCACUCCCAACGCCACCAGAAGCGCAAGGGCAGGUCUGCCCACCACUGGCUAGGGGGAGGCACCCAUCAAAACGGUGCUGCCACCCUGCGGCCUACCCGGGACACACCCUCUACACACCUGGAACCAGGGGCCUGGACGGCGCUGAGGGAUGACAGCCCGGGGUCUCCCCCGCCUCCAGCCCCUCAGGGCCAGGGAUGAGGAAGACUGAAGGCAGCCCGCCCCCACACCCGGAAUCGGCAACCACUGGGAACCAGCAGGGCGCCCAUUGCUCCCAGCCAGGCUGCGGAGUCCAGGCUUCGUGGCCCUAGGAAUUGAAUGCAGCACUGCAGCUGGUUAAUUGCCUGUCCAUCGGGGAGGAUGUUUUGCUGGGUGAGGCCAGAGUGCUUCUCUCUGGGGAGGUGUGAGGAGGAGCCAAGCCUGCAGCAGCGCCAGGGCCGAUGAAGUCAGGCGGAUGAACAGAACAUUCCGAUGGCGCCAUCCUGGUUCCGCCUCCACCUGCAGAGGGAUCGGCGCUCACUCCCUCCCCAGGCUCUGUGUGGGCCCACCCCUGCCAUCCGGGGCCUAGCCUGUCUCCUGUCCUGAGGCCUGACCUGCUCUAGCCUGGAGCCACCGGAGUGUCCUCCCCUGUCCCAGGACUGCUGGGAGGACUAGGACAGCCAGCCUUCGAGGGAAUACUUUUUAGGGACCCGGCCAGUCCACAUCUGUGAGUCUUGCAUAGCUUCCAUUUGUCCACGGCAGUGGGCCCAGGCUACUUAGUCCUUCCUUCCACAGGAGGGAGGGGGCGCCCAGGGAAGCGAG